ACUUUUUUUUACCUGGUCCUCUUUACGUACACUUUUAAGAGAGGAUAUAAAUUUCACUGACAAGAGUCCUUGUAAUGAUAAUACAACAUCUGAAAUGAAUAAAAGGAAAUUAUACCAUGAAUAUCAUCUAUAAGAAAGUAUUAAUUAGAUGAGAUACACUUCAUUAUAUGUUGUGUACCUCAUACAAUCAAAAUAAGUUUUAAAAAAACUCAUUUGUCUAAUUAAUCUUUAAUUAUUCAUCAUCAUUUAUAGCCUGUUCGGGCAAGCUUUUUCUUGGUCAAAAGUGAUUUUUUUGUUGUUGUUGCCAAAAGUGAUUUUUUUAAAAGUUGAGGUGUUUGGCCAAACCUUUAGAAGAAAAAAAAUAUUUUUUUGAGUAGAAAAAGUUUUUGAGAAGCACAAAAAAAAAUAACUUCUUCCCAAAAACACUUUUAGAAAAGUACACUUAAAAACACUUUUAAAAGCUUGACCAAAUUUUAAUUGCUGCUCAAAAGUAUUUUUCAAAUUAAUUAGUCAAACACAAAUUGUUUCUCACCAAAAGAAUUUUUUUAAAAGCACUUUUGAGAAAAACACUUUUCAAAAUAAACUGAUUUUAGAAGUUUGGUCAAAUAGGUUAGACAAACAAGUCACGAUAUGACGUUCCACAAUAUUGAUCAUUCAAAUAAACUUAUAAUUAUUUGCUCAAAGCUUUAUUUUAAUAAUGUAGUCAUUAUUUUAUAAAAUAUUUUUACAUAACUCGGAAUACACGUGCAUCGCACGUGCCGAGAAACUAGUUAAAGUAAAAAUGAAAAGUUUGAAAUUAAGGAGUUUUAUGUAUAAAACAUGCGGAGUAUGUCGUUUUUUAAAUAAACUAAAAAAACGCGUGUGAUAUGAAGUGAAAUAGAGUAAGUAAAAGAAAAAUUCCGGUAAUUAUGUAAUCAUGUAAGCAAACAAAUGCUCGUAAUUAAUUUAUUUGAAAAACUAAAGAAAGCGUUGAUAUUGGACGAUGUGAUCAAUUAUUAAUUAAGAUAGUAAUAUAUUGGAUUCAAAGGAUUAUAGAGCCGUUUGUUCAUAAGUUUUUUUUCUUCUUUUUUUCGAAAUUUAUUUUUAAAAAUGUGUUUGUCCAUGAAAUUUUACAAGUUUUUUGAAAAAAAAUUCGAAAAUGAGUUUUUCAAAAAUCAAAAAGUGAUUUUGACCAUUAUUUCAAAAUUUUCGGAAAAUUUUUUUUCCCCACUCACAAAACUGCAAUAUUUUUUCAAGUGAAACGCAUGUUCAAACAUAAUUUCAAAUUCUAAAUACUAUUUUUCAACUUAACUCCAAAUACUAUUUUUUUAAAAAAUAUUAUAAUUUUUAUUUCCAAACGCCUACUAUAUUAGCGUUUGCAGUUUAUGUAUGAAUAUCUUUAAUGAAGCUUUCUUUGGAAACGUUUUAGGAACAUAUUUUUAAAAGAUGAUAUGUUGUUGGAUAAUUGUUACAUGGAUUUACAACAAUUGAUAUUCACGCAAAGAACUCAAGAUAUAUUUGUAUCAAUUUAAUUUUUAAAACUACUUUUUUCACGAAUAAGUUUCCAAUUUUUCUAAGCAACCGAAGAAUGGACCUCCCUUGACGUGUUCAAAUGAGGAUAAUAUAUGUUUUUUUUUGUGCCUACAAUCGUUAAAAAGUGAACCAAAAUGAUCAUUGGUUUUAUUUUAUAUUCAUAUUGGAGUUUCGACUAAUUUAAAUUUACGACAUAAAAUUCUUUAAAGAAGGAGAUGCUCCCUACUAACUUUUUUUCAUUUUCGUCUAUCCAUCCCAUCUUUUGUAGGUAAUCAGUAAUCACGCCCCUCUUAAAGUCUCUUUAAACUCUAAUCACACCUUCGAAAUUCGAAAUAUAUUAUAAAUAAGGAUUUAUAGGAUAAAUCAGAACAUUGGUCACAGAAAUAAGAAUAAAAAGAUGUUUUGCUGUGAACUGUGAUAUAUCAUUCUCAAAUGAACAAAAAAGUGAACACAACUAAAUGUAUUUAAUGAAAGACACUAUUGGAAUUUCUGGAAAUUUCAACCAAAAAAUCGGCUGAAAGGCCAUCUGAAAUAAACAAGCUAUUAGCGGCUUCUUGGAGCUGGAGGUGCUGCAGUUGACGAAAUCCAGCUCUUUGGAUGAACUUUUUAUGAAAAAUAAUUUGACGACGUUUUUCAUAAACAUCACGAGUUGUAGUGAAUGGAUAAAAUUCCUUCCAUCUUAAAGUAAAUGUCUUGUAUUAGAGUCUUCCGAAUUGAAGCUUUUUCCCUUUAAUAGAUCUUGUGUGGCGAAAGUUUGAAUUAAUUGGGACGGCAAUGCAGCUGAGUGAGAAAAAAAACAUAAUAAUUUAGUAAACAUUAGAAAAUUAUAGUAAUGAGAUGACAAUACCUUAAUCGAGGUGCACUCAAAGGCGAGAUGGUGUAAAAAGAGUGAAAAUCUCAUAAAUAUAUAAAUGGCGAAUGAUGAUUGACGAGCAAAUUUAAAAAGAAAAAUGCUACAAGAACAACAAACCCAUUUUAAUAUCACAAGUGAGGUCGGAGGAGAAUAGUAUGUAUGCAGAUCUUAUCCUUAUUUUAUGUAUAUAGAAAAUCUGAUUCUAAUAUAUCAUCGAAUAAAAAAAAUAUAAAAAAGAAGAAGAAGCAAGGUGACCCAAAAGGGGUGACCUGAGAACACAAGUGCAUUUAGAUUUUAGCCAAAACAAAAAUACCAAAAUGCACAUGUGUUCCCAUGUUCACUCCUUUGGGGUGCACCAUUGUUCAUUGAUAAUGACCAUAAUGAGUAU
rnacentral:lncRNA from 1 species